rnacentral:rRNA from 1 species
AUUGAACGCUGGCGGAAUGCUUUACACAUGCAAGUCGAACGGUAGAGGGGGCAACCCCUCGAGAGUGGCGAACGGGUGAGUAAUAUAUCGGAACGUGCCCAGUCGUGGGGGAUAACGUAGCGAAAGUUACGCUAAUACCGCAUACGAUCUAAGGAUGAAAGCGGGGGAUCGCAAGACCUCGCGCGAUUGGAGCGGCCGAUAUCAGAUUAGGUAGUUGGUGGGGUAAAGGCUCACCAAGCCAACGAUCUGUAGCUGGUCUGAGAGGACGACCAGCCACACUGGAACUGAGACACGGUCCAGACUCCUACGGGAGGCAGCAGUGGGGAAUUUUGGACAAUGGACGCAAGUCUGAUUCAGCCAUUCCGCGUGCAGGAUGAAGGCCCUCGGGUUGUAAACUGCUUUUGUACGGAACGAAAAGGUCUCUCUUAAUACGGGGGACUCAUGACGGUACCGUAAGAAUAAGCACCGGCUUACUACGUGCCAGCCGCCGCCGUAAUAC